CUCCCUGACUCCUUGAGAGUCCUGAAGGAACGUUGAAGACGACGACGUUGAUAGGCCGGGUGUGUAAGCGCAGCGAUGCGUUGAGCUAACCGGUAAUAAUGAACCGUGAGGCUUAAACUUACAACGCCGAAG
rnacentral:rRNA from 1 species